CGUGACGGCGCGAGCAGGUGCGAAAGCAGGUCAUAGUGAUCCGGUGGUUCUGAAUGGAAGGGCCAUCGCUCAACGGAUAAAAGGUACUCCGGGGAUAACAGGCUGAUACCGCCCAAGAGUUCAUAUCGACGGCGGUGUUUGGCACCUCGAUGUCGGCUCAUCACAUCCUGGGGCUGAAGUAGGUCCCAAGGGUAUGGCUGUUCGCCAUUUAAAGUGGUACGCGAGCUGGGUUUAGAACGUCGUGAGACAGUUCGGUCCCUAUCUGCCGUGGGCGCUGGAGAACUGAGGGGGGCUGCUCCUAGUACGAGAGGACCGGAGUGGACGCAUCACUGGUGUUCGGGUUGUCAUGCCAAUGGCACUGCCCGGUAGCUAAAUGCGGAAGAGAUAAGUGCUGAAAGCAUCUAAGCACGAAACUUGCCCCGAGAUGAGUUCUCCCUGAGACUUAGAGUCUCCUGAAGGAAC
rnacentral:rRNA from 1 species